rnacentral:tRNA from 1 species
AUUUAUAUAGUUUAUCUAUCAAAACAUUACACUUUCAUUGUAAAAAUAAAUUAAAUUUUAUAAAUA